GCGGCCGGGAGUUCGGGCCCCGCGCGGGGACUGGGCGUGCGGCUCGCGCGUGAAGGACGCGCCGGUUUUGUGAUGAUAGCGAUGAUGCCCCAUGUUUCCUCCGUAGAAAAACCCCGCGGUCCUUGUCUCUGAAGCGAGUGAGGGAAUAGUGAUGAGCGGAGCCAGGAGGGGAGGCGAGCGCAGUCGCCUCUUGUCCUAGGUGGUGCCUCGCUGCAGCUCGAAGACCCACGGACCCCGCCGCUGGUUGGCGUGACUGACCCGGAACCGGCGAAUGCGGCCUCUCCACGCCUCGGUUUUCUCGUUUGAAAAAGAGGAGGGAAUAUCGCGUGUCAGUCUCCGAGAGUCGUGAGAAUUCCAUGAGAUCUCUUCAUUCUACAGAUGCUUACUAUAGAGAAUGUCACUUUCCACCAUGAAGGAUUCUUCUGGAGAUGCUGGUUUAAUGGAAUUGUGGAGGAGAAUGAUUCCAGUAUCUGGAAGUUCUGGUACAUCAAUCAGCCACCAUCCAAGAACUGCACACACGCCUACCUGUCACCAUACCCCUUCAUGAGAGGCCAACACAAUUCUACCUCCUACGACUCUGCAGUUAUUUACCGUGGUUUCUGGGCAGUGCUGAUGCUCCUGGGAGUGGUCGCCGUUGUGACUGCAAGCUUUUUGAUCAUCUGUGCAGCCCCCUUUGCCAGCCAUUUUCUUUAUAAAGCUGGAGGAGGCUCAUACAUUGCUGCAGGCAUCCUGUUCUCCCUGGUGGUGAUGCUCUAUGUCAUCUGGGUCCAGGCGGUGGCGGACAUGGAAAGCUACAAAAACAUGAAGCUGAAAGACUGCUUGGAUUUCACCCCUUCUGUUCUAUAUGGCUGGUCAUUUUUUUUGGCCCCAGCUGGGAUAUUUUUUUCUUUGCUAGCUGGAUUACUAUUUCUAGUUGUUGGUCGGCAUAUUCAGAUACACCACUAAUCAAUCUGUUUGUUGCCACUAGCGUUUUCCUGAGAGAGUUUAAAACAGAACAUACCUUUUUUUUUUUGUUUGUUUCAUUGAUCCCAGGGUAGCGUUAAUUGAUGAAAUUUUUUGGUUGCUAUUUGAAUCAAGGAUUUUACUUGUGAUUUCCUCUGAUAAGACGGUCCUAGAAUCUCUCCGACACCAAGACGUUUCCAUCUUACCUAAGUGAUAUGAAGGAUCUAGUGUUUUAGGAAGCAAGUAACAUCGACCUCCCUUUAAUUGCAGGUUGCCAAGGCCAGAUAGCUGGUAUAACACCAUCGCAUGGGGCCAGUCAUGAUUUGAAUACUUAUGCGGCUACCAUACAUCCAUCAUAAGGCAAUUGGCUGAAUAUCUGAUGUGUACGGCAUUUUUACACAGAUCCUCACUUUGGAAGUAUUUUAUACUUGUAAUGCAUCAAUCACAUUAAUUUCAAACACAUUUCCUGGUCUACUUACCAGCAGUCCUCAGAAGGAGUGAAGUUGGAGAGCGCAUUUUGUCUUUGUGCUGCUGCAUGCCCAGUUCCAGCGGCGAGUGAGAGAGAAGUGAGGAUUGAGUGAGCGCUGUCAUGGACGUGCCUUCUUUGACCAGAGAAUAUGUGGUGAUGCACGUGCAAUGCAUUUAUCACAAUGCUUACCCUGUAAAUGCCAACGGUAAUGACUAUCUUUGAACGUCUUCUGGUACCACGUAGCAAUUGGUAACUGUUGACGAAUAUUUAUUCAACAGUUAGAAACUUUGUUGGACAGAACGAUCCCCUUCUAAAGCAUCUUGCCUAGAUUGAUUGAUUCAGUCCCCUUGCAGCAGUUUAAGCCAGUUGGGUUCUAGUGAGCUUCCUAUUUGGAUCACCUGUAGGAAGAAUCCUAUGAUGUGGGGGUGGGGAGAUGAUGAGCCUGUGUCUGAGGACCUGCAUUCAAUAGGUUGAUAAAUUGUUCCACAUCAGUUUGGCUCAGUUUCUUCAUCUGUAAUAACCAUUAGUUUAUUCAACAAGUAGUAAUUGUGUGCAUACUAUCUGUCCCAAGUGAUGUUAGAUAUUGUUGUUGUUAGCUGCUGUCAAAUCAGGUCCAACUCAUCAUGGUGGCCUUACGUAUAACAGAAUGAAACAUACACUACUAAACAAAACAGACAUGGUCCUUCACACCUCAAACUAGGAUUCAAUCACAGUAUACAGACAACGGACAAGGGAACAAAAAGUAACUAUGAAUUUAUAAAUUGUGAUAAAUCCUCUAAAGAAAAAUACACAAGACAUAAUGAUAGAUAAAACCAUUACUGUUGGAUAGUUAGGAAAGUUCUUUCUAGGGAGGUGACAUUUAUUCUGAUACAUAAAAGAAGGAGGAUUAGUGGAAGAAACCGCCUGAGUGGAAAAGAGCUUGUCUAUUCUAGGAACUGAACAGACUUGGCUUGUAUGGUUGGACAUUGAUGGCGAAAGCCUUGUCAUGAAGUUGGAAGAGUAUAAUUGAAUGGACUUUCUGGUGGAUUGGAGAUGGAGUGAUAAGAGGGAAGAAUCAAGAAUUCCCAGAUUUCUAGCUUAAGCAAAUGGGUAGAUAGAGAAGACUGGAAUACCGAAAACCAAGAGCCGAACAGGUUUUGAAAGAGAGAGGAAUCCAUGGUUCCAUUUUAAUGAUGUAAUGUUUGAGAUGUGAAGUGUCCACUGUGAAACACUGGUAGGCAGUUGGGUAUAGCACAGGCAUAGUCUGGGAUGGAGACACAUGUUUGUGAGUCAGGAACCAAUGUGGAUGAUAUUUAAAGCUACUGGAAAGAUACCACUAGGGAGAAUGGCUGGAGAGAGUAAUUCUCCCCAUGCUGGGGAAGCUAACAUUUUGAGGAUGAGUAGAACUCUGUCUGCAGAGAGGCCAGAAAUAGAGACACUUAAAAGGACUAAUGAAAGCCAUGGGGGUGCAGUGGUUAAGAAUUUGGGUGCUAACCAAAAGAUUGGCAGUUUGAAUCCACUAGCCACUUCUUGCAAAUCCUAUGAGAUAGUUCUAGUCUGUCCCAUAGGGUCUCUAUGAGUUGGAACUGACGUGAUAGCAAUGGUUUUUUUUUUUUUUUUUGAGAGCAGGGCGGUAUCAAGAAGCCCAGAAGAGAGAAUGUUUUUACAAAGGACUGAGAUUUUAUUUUUAUCAACGCUGCUGAUAGGAUGGGAAAGACAGGGACAGACAAGUGACCUUGGGGUGUAGAAAUGUGGAAGUUGUUUGUGACAGCAACAACAGAAGUUUUGGUGGUGUGGUGAGAAGCAAGGCCAGACUUGAUUUGUUUGCGGGGCUAACGAGGUAAUAAUGUAGAGACAGCUUGUUGUACAACUUCUAAAAGAAGCAGAGGCAGAUUAACCAGUAAGCAAGGUAUGCACAUCUUUGAUGUGGUGAAACAUAGGUGAAAUUGUGCACUACAGAUUAGUAAAUAAGCACAAAUAAGCCUGUGUGUAUAUUGCUCAUUGGGUAAUCUGUCCCUGAGAAGAAGGUUGUCUUUGAAGAAAAGCAGAGAGGCAUGGGUCUGGGUAGAAGAGAAUAUGGCAUCAAGCAAAACAUUGGUAAGAGCUGGGAACAUGAGGGCAAGUUUUGUGCUUUUGACAAGUAUUCUGUAUAGAGAAGUUGGUGAUGCAGGAAUGGAUCACUGAAAGUAGGGUCCUAGAGCAUGGCGGUCUGCAUGGGGGCAGUGAUAACUACCCCACCUCAAAGGAGGGCAUGGAUUUGAAAAUACCUGGAAUGUAGAAACCACUCAUUAAAUUUAGUCACAGAACAAAAACAAAAAAAAACUUUUGUACAUUUACCAUGUACUAGUUCCAGUAUUAGGUGCUAGAGUUACAGAAAGUUUCGUGAUUCGCCAUGCACAGGUCAAAUGUAAUACACUUGAUUGCUUAUCAGCUAUAAAUAAAAUCCUGGAGAGUCAACACAGUUGAAGGAUAGGCCUGUUAAAAAGUUCACUAGAGAGAGAAAAUGACAACUGACUCAGUAUAUCAGUGUGUUACUAUCUAGGAGAUUCUGUCUGUCUUGCUAGCGAAGUUUAAAUGUCCCUGACUUGCUUCUCUUGAUGAGUAUUUGAGAAGGAAAUUUCUUGCUUGUUUCUGACAGCAUUAGUUUUAUUUUAACCUAGAAGAAGCCCAGUUACUCUCAGAAAGCUAUCUGCUGGUUUGAUGGGAAUACUUAGCUUCUGUAUAAAGACAAUCAAAAGGCAUAGCGUGACACUGAGCUAGAACCCUGGAUUUAGAUUUUGUAUUAUUUGUUUCUGAAACCCUGGUGGUGUAGUGGUUAAGUGCUAUGGCUGCUAAUGAAGAGGUCGGCAGUUCGAAUCUGCCAGGCGCUCCUUGGAAACUCUAUCAGGCAGUUCUGCUCUGUCCUGUAGGGUUGCUAUGAGUUGGAAUUGACUCAACAGCAGUGGGUUUGGUUUGGUUUGUUAUUUGUUUCAGAUAGUCCAUUUUGGGAUCUAGAAAAAUACCCUAAAAUAAAAGGAAAAAUUCAAUUUAUGAAAGGUGAUAAAAAUAAAAGGGUCAGAAAGAAGAGUUUAAAAAAUGGCUAAUUUGGAUUCCAAGUAAUGCUUGCAUCUCUUAAUUCAUUAGUAGUAAAUUCAGAGACGUUUACUCAUAAACCCAUUGCAGUCGCAGAGUAGAACUGCCCCAGAGGGUUUCCAAGGCUGUAACCUUUAUGGAAGCUGACUGCCACAUCUUUGUCCCGAGGAGCGGCUGGUGGGUUUGAACUGCCAACCUUCCGGUGAGCAGCCAAGCACUUUAACCACUGUGCCGCCAGGGCUCCAUUUACUCAUAAAAGGGAAGAUCAAAGAGGAGCUGUGUUUACGACUCUGCAUACAAGUGGCCCCGCUAUUUGUAGCACUAUCAGUGGAACGUCUCCUGGCAUCUAGGGAGACGGGCUAUAUUUUAUACUUGUAAAUAUUGUAGUUUUUGACUGAUUGGCAAUAUCUUCAGUGCCCUUUGAUAUUCCUAGUACUUUCAACUGUCCACAAGGAUAGUUCA